CCGCCGGCGACCGGCGCACGGGUGAGUAACACGUAUGCAACCUGGCCGCCACAGGGGGAUAACCCGCGGAAACGCGGCCUAAUACCCCGUGACGCCACCGGAGGGCAUCCUCCGGUGGCCAAAGGAGCGAUCCGGUGGCGGAUGGGCAUGCGGCGCAUUAGCUAGACGGCGGGGUGACGGCCCACCGUGGCGACGAUGCGUAGGGGUUCUGAGAGGAAGGCCCCCCACACUGGGACUGAGACACGGCCCAGACUCCUACGGGAGGCAGCAG
rnacentral:rRNA from 1 species